rnacentral:rRNA from 1 species
AGAGAGAGACAUGCGUGCAUAUCAAUAAGCGGAGGAAAAGAAACUAACUAGGAUUCCCUCAGUAACGGCGAGUGAAGCGGGAAGAGCUCAAAUUUGAAAUCUUCAAGGUUUCUACCUUGACGAAUUGUAGUUUAAAGAAGUGUUUUCUGUUGGAGUUUUGGUAAAAGUUCUUUGGAAUAGGACAUCAUAGAGGGUGAGAAUCCCGUAUUUGACCAUUAUUUCCAGCUUUGUGAUACACUUUCAAAGAGUCGGAUUGUUUGGGAAUGCAGUCCAAAAUGGGUGGUAAAUUUCAUCUAAAGCUAAAUAUUGGCGAGAGACCGAUAGCGAACAAGUACCGUGAGGGAAAGAUGAAAAGAACUUUGAAAAGAGAGUUAAACAGUACGUGAAAUUGUCAAAAGGGAAGCGUUUGACACCAGUGUUGUUUUCUCGAAAAUCAAUUAAAAAAGGCAGGAUUUUGUGUUGUAUUGACUUUAUCAGCUUUCUGCACUCUUUUCUUGUCUUUUUUAAUGCACUUUUCGUUUAACAAGUCAACAUCAAUUUCUUUUGUUGUAAAAGGGUCAUUGGAAGGUGGCUUUCUUUUCGGAGAAAGUGUUUAUAGCCUUUGGCCUCUGCAAUCGGAGAGAUUGAGGUCUGCAGCGUAGAUCCUUCGGGGCUAGAUACAUUUGUGCUAAGUUAUAGCCUUUCAUAGACAACUUGUUGACUAUGAUCAGUCAUGUAGCUUACUCGCUUAUGCUAUUUUACCUACGCUUAGGAUGUUGAUGUGAUACUGCGAGCA